rnacentral:rRNA from 1 species
GAACCGUUAUAACCGGCGAUUUCCGAAUGGGGAAACCCAGUGUGACUCGUCACACUAUCAUUAACUGAAUCCAUAGGUUAAUGAGGCGAACCGGGGGAACUGAAACAUCUAAGUACCCCGAGGAAAAGAAAUCAACCGAGAUUCCCCCAGUAGCGGCGAGCGAACGGGGAGGAGCCCAGAGCCUGAAUCAGCAUGUGUGUUAGUGGAAGCGUCUGGAAAGGCGCGCGAUACAGGGUGACAGCCCCGUACACAAAAGCGCAUGUGCUGUGAGCUCGAUGAGUAGGGCGGGACACGUGGUAUCCUGUCUGAAUAUGGGGGGACCAUCCUCCAAGGCUAAAUACUCCUGACUGACCGAUAGUGAACCAGUACCGUGAGGGAAAGGCGAAAAGAACCCCGGCGAGGGGAGUGAAAAAGAACCUGAAACCGUGUACGUACAAGCAGUGGGAGCACAGGUUUACCUGUGUGACUGCGUACCUUUUGUAUAAUGGGUCAGCGAC